rnacentral:rRNA from 1 species
UACGUAGGGGGGCAAGCGUUGUCCGGAAUCAUUGGGCGUAAAGCGCGUGUAGGCGGCUCGAUAAGUCUGCUGUGAAAGUCCAGGGCUCAACCCUGGGAUGCCGGUGGAUACUGUCGAGCUCGAGUCCGGAAGAGGCGAGUGGAAUUCCUGGUGUAGCGGUGAAAUGCGCAGAUAAUCAGGAGGAACACCAAUGGCGAAGGCAGCUCGCUGGGACGGUAGCUGACGCUGGAGACGCGAAAGCGUGGGGAGCAAACAGG